GAUGAACGCUGGCGGCGUGCCUAAUACAUGCAAGUCGAGCGAACAGACGAGGAGCUUGCUCCUCUGACGUUAGCGGCGGACGGGUGAGUAACACGUGGAUAACCUACCUAUAAGACUGGGAUAACUUCGGGAAACCGGAGCUAAUACCGGAUAAUAUAUUGAACCGCAUGGUUCAAUAGUGAAAGACGGUUUUGCUGUCACUUAUAGAUGGAUCCGCGCCGCAUUAGCUAGUUGGUAAGGUAACGGCUUACCAAGGCGACGAUGCGUAGCCGACCUGAGAGGGUGAUCGGCCACACUGGAACUGAGACACGGUCCAGACUCCUACGGGAGGCAGCAGUAGGGAAUCUUCCGCAAUGGGCGAAAGCCUGACGGAGCAACGCCGCGUGAGUUAUGAAGGUCUUCGGAUCGUAAAACUCUGUUAUUAGGGAAGAACAAAUGUGUAAGUAACUAUGCACGUCUUGACGGUACCUAAUCAGAAAGCCACGGCUAACUACGUG
rnacentral:rRNA from 1 species